GCAGGCAUAGAUCAGUCGGUUACAGCGUGGGUCUAAUAAGCCCAAGGUCGAAGGUUCGACCCCUGCUGGCGGCA
rnacentral:tRNA from 1 species